AACAAACGCUGGCGGCGUGCCUAAUACAUGCAAGUCGAACGAGGAAAGCUUUCGGGUGAGUACUAGUGGCGCACGGGUGAGGAAUAUAUGGGUAAUCUGCCCUCGAGUUGGGGAUAACCAGUCGAAAGACUGGCUAAUACCGAAUAAGACCACAGGAUCUGCGGAUCUGGGGGUUAAAGGUUUUUCGCUUGAGGAUGAGCCCAUACGGGAUUAGCUAGUUGGCGAGGUAAUGGCUCACCAAGGCUACGAUCCCUAACUGGUCUUAGAGGAUGAUCAGUCACACUGGAACUGAGACACGGUCCAGACUCCUACGGGAGGCAGCAGUAGGGAAUAUUGCACAAUGGGGGAAACCCUGAUGCAGCGACGCCGCGUGAGUGAUGAAGGCCUUCGGGUCGUAAAGCUCUGUCGUAUGGGACUAACACAAUGAAGGUACCAUGCAAGAAAGGAUCGGCUAACUUCGUGCCAGCAGCCGCGGUAA
rnacentral:rRNA from 1 species